rnacentral:rRNA from 1 species
GACGAACGCUGGCGGCGUGCUUAACACAUGCAAGUCGUACGGUAAGGCCCUUUCGGGGGUACACGAGUGGCGAACGGGUGAGUAACACGUGAGUAACCUGCCCACAACUUUGGGAUAACGCUAGGAAACUGGUGCUAAUACUGGAUAUGUGCUCCUGCUGCAUGGUGGGGGUUGGAAAGCUCCGGCGGUUGUGGAUGGACUCGCGGCCUAUCAGCUUGUUGGUGGGGUAGUGGCCUACCAAGGCGGCGACGGGUAGCCGGACUGAGAGGGUGACCGGCCACAUUGGGACUGAGAUAAGGCCCAGACUCCGACGGGAGGCAGCAGUGGGGAAUAUUGCACAAUGGGCGCAAGCCUGAUGCAGCAACGCCGCGUGCGGGAUGACGGCCUUCGGGUUGUAAACCGCUUUCAGCAGGGACGAAGCUUUUUGUGACGGUACCUGCAGAAGAAGCACCGGCUAACUACGUG